CUGCAGUAUCAAAGUUACUCCCACUGCAGCUAAUUUUUGUCAACUACUAACUAUUAUGGGUAUAAAAUAUAACGACGUACUCAUUUUUAUAGAACCGUCAAUCAACAAAUUAGAAGACUCG